rnacentral:lncRNA from 1 species
UUUCAAAGGACAGUGCAUAGGUACUCAGCAGCCCCAGAACUACACAUUUUCUCCACUCAUUUUUCAUUGCCCCUAGUUGUUUAACAUAUUUUCAUCAACAAUCUGUUAAGUAUUCACCAUGUGCCUAUCCUUGUGUCAGUGUAAGUCAUCUAAAAUAUAUUUAUACUGAUUAUUCAUGUUUUAGAAUUCUGUUCUUCUAGUAAAGGAUAAUGAGGAGAGGAAGGUAUUUUUUUUUUCUUUUUCUCUAGCUAGAGAACAAGGGUGUUGUAACCCAGAAGAGCCUUCCCUGCCAGGACUACUAGGCUUAUGCAUGCCCGUACACACUGAUCUAUCCCUAAAGUGUGUUUGAACUUGAGCUUAAUGAAGGCAGAGACCAUGUAUUGUGGCCAGCAUAAAGCAUCGGCUGGAACAGAUAGAUGCUCGAAGUCAAAUAAACAAAUGAUUAAGCAAUUUCUUUGGCCAAUCCCCAAAAAGUAUUUGGACUAGUCAUUUUAUUACUCUGUGCCUUUUUUUUACUAAUUUGUAAAAUGAAGAUGAAAAGAAUAUUCACCCUAUAUGGAAACUUUGAAAUCCCAUUAAAU